rnacentral:rRNA from 1 species
GAUGAACGCUGGCGGCGUGCCUAAUACAUGCAAGUCGAGCGAACAGAUAAGGAGCUUGCUCCUUUGAAGUUAGCGGCGGACGGGUGAGUAACACGUGGGUAACCUACCUAUAAGACUGGGAUAACUUCGGGAAACCGGAGCUAAUACCGGAUAACAUUUAGAACCGCAUGGUUCUAAAGUGAAAGAUGGUUUUGCUAUCACUUAUAGAUGGACCCGCGCCGUAUUAGCUAGUUGGUAAGGUAACGGCUUACCAAGGCGACGAUACGUAGCCGACCUGGGAGGGUGAUCGGCCACACUGGAACUGAGACACGGUCCAGACUCCUACGGGAGGCAGCAGUAGGGAAUCUUCCGCAAUGGGCGAAAGCCUGACGGAGCAACGCCGCGUGAGUGAUGAAGGGUUUCGGCUCGUAAAACUCCGUUAUUAGGGAAGAACAAAUGUGUAAGUAGCUGUGCACAUCUUGACGGUACCUAAUCAGAAAGCCACGGCUAACUACGUGCCAGCAGCCGCGGUAAUACGUAGGUGGCAAGCGUUAUCCGGAAUUAUUGGGCGUAAAGCGCGCGUAGGCGGUUUCUUAAGUCUGAUGUGAAAGCCCACGGCUCAACCGUGGAGGGUCAUUGGAAACUGGGAAACUUGAGUGCAGAAGAGGAAGGUGGAAUUCCAUGUGUAGCGGUGAAAUGCGCAGAGAUAUGGAGGAACACCAGUGGCGAAGGCGACUUUCUGGUCUGUAACUGACGCUGAUGUGCGGAAGCGUGGGGAUCAAACAGGAUUAGAUACCCUGGUAGUCCACGCCGUAAACGAUGAGUGCUAAGUGUUAGGGGGGUUUCCGCCCCUUAGUGCUGCAGCUAACGCAUUAAGCACUCCGCCUGGGGAGUACGACCGCAAGGUUGAAACUCAAAGGAAUUGACGGGGACCCGCACAAGCGGUGGAGCAUGUGGUUUAAUUCGAAGCAACGCGAAGAACCUUACCAAAUCUUGACAUCCUUUGAAAACUCUAGAGAUAGAGCCUUCCCCUUCGGGGGACAAAGUGACAGGUGGUGCAUGGUUGUCGUCAGCUCGUGUCGUGAGAUGUUGGGUUAAGUCCCGCAACGAGCGCAACCCUUAAGCUUAGUUGCCAUCAUUAAGUUGGGCACUCUAGGUUGACUGCCGGUGACAAACCGGAGGAAGGUGGGGAUGACGUCAAAUCAUCAUGCCCCUUAUGAUUUGGGCUACAUACGUGCUACAAUGGACAAUACAAAGGGCAGCUAAACCGCGAGGUCAUGCAAAUCCCAUAAAGUUGUUCUCAGUUCGAAUUGUAGUCUGCAACUCGACUACAUGAAGCUGGAAUCGCUAGUAAUCGUAGAUCAGCAUGCUACGGUGAAUACGUUCCCGGGUCU